rnacentral:rRNA from 1 species
GACGAACGCUGGCGGCGUGCCUAAUACAUGCAAGUCGAGCGCAGGAAGCUGACGGAACUCUUCGGAGGAAAGGUAGUGGAAUGAGCGGCGGACGGGUGAGUAACACGUAAGGAACCUGCCUCAAGGAUUGGGAUAACUCCGAGAAAUCGGAGCUAAUACCGGAUAGUUCAACGGACCGCAUGGUCCGCUGAUGAAAGGCGCUCCGGCGUCACCUUGAGAUGGCCUUGCGGUGCAUUAGCUAGUGGGUGGGGUAACGGCCCACCAAGGCGACGAUGCAUAGCCGACCUGAGAGGGUGAUCGGCCACACUGGGACUGAGACACGGCCCAGACUCCUACGGGAGGCAGCAGUAGGGAAUCUUCCACAAUGGACGAAAGUCUGAUGGAGCAACGCCGCGUGAGUGAUGAAGGUUCUCGGACCGUAAAACUCUGUUGUAAGGGAAGAACACGUACGAGAGGGAAUGCUCGUACCUUGACGGUACCUUACGAGAAAGCCACGGCUAACUACGUGCCAGCCGCCGCCGUAA